rnacentral:lncRNA from 1 species
CAGAUUGAAGCAUUUUGUUGUGUCACUCCUUGUUUCUAGUGCCAGGAUCACAGUGAGAAGGGAGUCACCCAUGAAGAUUUGUUCAUGCAGCUAAGCAAACUUUCAUGGAUAAAAUUCAAAACAGAAAAGGGAAUGAAUACUGUGUACCCAGACAGCAAUAAACAUUUAGCUGCAGACCACUGACAGAAAUCUAUAGACCACCAGUUUGGGAAACCUCAGCUUCGAACUCUAAAUGAUUCAACAUUUGUGUAAGUCAGACACGUUCUGCUAUUAUGUAACUAAAUAAUUUUAUAUCCAUGGUCAUUGUAAUGCUAAGAGGUUCAGACAGUGUAUGAACUGUUUACUCUUGCAAAUUGUCUCUCUAGUAAUUAGGUGAUAAAAUUGAAAGUGCUU